CUCAGGAAGCUUCGGAAAUAAGUCGGAUGCUGAAGGGGCCCCCAACCCCCCCCCCCCCCCGCCGGCUUCAGAUGUCACGUGCAUCAACAUCGCUCCAUUCUGACUUGAUGAGAAGUAAACGUUGUGAAUCUCAGCUACUAAGACAAAUUGAUGCCAACAAAAUACGAAUUUAAUCUCUUAUUUGCUUUUUAUUUUUAUUAUGAAAACUUUCCAACCUCCAGCAAAAUGCAGAUCGCAGCCUAACGAGCACCCACACACCCACACACCUGGAUUUCAGCCCCCAAGAGUGUGAUCCUCAGGAGAGCAGGAACUGUGUGUGCUGUGCUCACAGGUAGUAGAACCCCAUCAGGACCUGUUGAACCAAAGGUGUCUCUGCUCCCUACUUUGCCUCAGGAACCCCUGGGGCAUGCAUCCGCCCAGGAAUCGUUGGACAGGAUCCCCCCAAACCCCCCGCCUGGGGCAGUGCUGGGGCUUUGGUCCAGAUGACACGUGGCUCAGAGAAACAAUUGAACCAGGGAGAGAAGGACUCCGUCCAGUCCAAAUACGUAAGUCACUGAGGACAGGUCUUAAGGAAGCAGCCCAUACCCUGUCACUCUACCUCAUUAAUUAAUCUGUUUAUUUCCUUUGCACCACUUAGCACGCAUGUCUGUGUCAGUCACUGAAACGUAAGCCCUACAAAGCAAGGACCUUGUUUUCCUUAUCCAUUACAGUGUCCCAAACACCUAACAAAACCUGACACAUGCCGGGUGCUCAGUAAACGUUGUUGUUGUUGUUGUUUAAUGAAUAAAUUGGGCUGUGAACUCUUAGGGGAAGUCCUGAGCUUCUGGAAAGCUCCUACCUAAAGCACACGGGGUGCUGGGGCCCCGUUAUUUCUAACAGCAGGCUGGAAAUCUGGCUCUAGGAGCUGCCUCGGAUGUCGGGGGUGGGGGUGGGGGGAUGGGUGUGCUGCUCCCACCACAAUCAGAAUAACUCGUUUUUGCCUCUUUUAUCUACCGAAGUUCCAUGAACAUUUUUGUUUAAAGAAAAAAGGGAUAGCCUUGUUUUUUGAAUAUCUACAAGUCACAAGUGUAGACUUAAAAUAAGAAAGACAUCAUGCUAUUUUUAUUAGACUUUUUUUGCAAAGCCAAAGCAGUGACGCCCUUCAAGAUGCUGUUCCCUUUAAGAUCUCACAAACGGAGUCUGCGAAUAUCUUCUCCACCGUUGUGCGUGAAGAACGUUUCACGAACCAACGAAUGUGCUGAUUCCAGAGCCUGAGGUACAAAUGGCGCCUGGUUUUCCCAUCGUUAUGCUCUCUGCUAUGAGCGGUUUGAACCUCUCCAGAGUGAUCCGUCCAUCACAUAACAGCUCAGAUCAGGUUGGCUUUCUGGAUGCAAAACCCACAGCUACAACAGGAAGUGGCAUCGUUCACGGGACACGACAGUGUUCCCUUCUCUCCCUCUCUCUCAAUCUCUCUCUCCCUGCCCUCCUGGUGGAGAGUGGUACUUACAUGUGGGGCAAAAUGCUCCAGGCACAAGACUCAGGACAAGAUUGUAGGAUUGGCCCCUGGACUUGCUGAACUUUACAAAGCGGUGCAUUCAGGGCUGCAAACGGAACACGGGCAGCUUCUCUGAGGCUCAGCUCCAGCCCCUCCAUGAAGGCAGGUGUCGUAGACUCCAGAUGGGGGCUGUAGGUCUGCGAAGGCCAGCGCCUGCUCCCCGGGGAGAGAGCGCCUGGCUAACUGCCAAGCCUCAUCACCACAUGAGCAUCAUCCUUUGGAGUCCUGAUAAAAUGAGACAGGACAGUAAUGACCAGCAGGCAGAGAGGCACAUGCUGGAAGCGCACACUGGAUUCCCGUUGGGAAAAUGCUAGAAGGCUGCCCUUUAAAAAAAAAAUCUGACACAAAAAAUUUCCUGUGCUAACUGUCCAAGACCUCAGCUCUUUCUGAGUAACUUGGGUACCAUUU